UACGGGGGGGGCAAGCGUUGUUCGGAAUUACUGGGCGUAAAGGGCUCGUAGGCGGCCAACUAAGUCAGACGUGAAAUCCCUCGGCUUAACCGGGGAACUGCGUCUGAUACUGGAUGGCUUGAGUUUGGGAGAGGGAUGCGGAAUUCCAGGUGUAGCGGUGAAAUGCGUAGAUAUCUGGAGGAACACCGGUGGCGAAGGCAAUCCCCUGGGCCUGCACUGACGCUCAUGCACGAAAGCGUGGGGAGCAAACAGG
rnacentral:rRNA from 1 species